UCCAACAGCUGACAAGUUCCAGUUCCAGCGGCGUGGGAGGAGAAACAGACGAGCUGCUCUGCCUGUCAGGCGGCUGGUCGGAGAUCCCUCGCUUGUUAUUUUGAGCAGAAGGAAAGGUGUGCGACUUGAAAUUUCCGUGCUUCUUUUCUUUUCUUUUAUUCUGCUUUUUGAAUGAAUUCAACACGCCCAAGCUUCUAACAAAUAUUCAAACUUAACAACCAACUUUUUUUUUUUUACGGUUUUCUGUUUUCUCUUUCCUUUCUAGAAGGACUACUCUCUCCAUUUUAUUUUGUUUAUCAUUUUUUUCUUUCUUAGUAUAUAAAAAUUGUGUUCUGUUAUCCUUUGUACCAACACUUACAAAAAACGUCUUUAUAUUCCUACUUUCUUUUAUAUUUUGAAUAUAUUUUUAUGAAUUUUUUUAACCUUUUAGCAUUAAAAUUCCUAAUAAUUGAUUUUGAACAUCUGAGCUUUUCAAUAGAGGUAAAAUAUGAUUGAACUUGAAAGCACGCACAAAGUGAUCCAAAGUUAAACUCUUUUUAAUUUGAAUUGAUUUUAAAAAAAUUUAAAAAUUCGAACUCAAAAAUAAUCAAAUUAUAAAGUAACAUAAACUAGAAACAGCAUAAAUUUUAAAUUAUCCAAACCAAUAGCAACUCGAACUUGAAGUGAUCUAAAUAUGCAACAAUUCAAACACGUAACGAUUUGAACUUAAAAUUAAUCAAAUUUUAAAUUUUAAAUUCAUAAAAAUUAAAUAUAGAUAUUUCAUUUUAUUUAAAGUCAUUUAACAUGAAUUUUAAAAAUAGUUUAAAUUAAAUGGUAAUGAAUAAUUAGCUUUUUUUUCUUUUUGAAGUUUUCUAAGCUGGUUUUAUUUUAAUUGAACUUAAAGAUUCGAUUUAUUUGUUGAACUAAAAGGCCGAGUUCCUUGAUUCAGGUUGAAAGCUAACACUGUUAAUUGAUCUUAAUAGGCCAUUUGGGCCUUGGGCUUGCAGCUCCAAAUCACAAAUUUAGAAAGAAAAAACAAAACACUAAAAUUACCAAAAUAGAGAAAUAAAAAAAAUGAUGGAGGGAGGACCACAUCUCCUCCCUGACUGAGAUCAGUUCUGCCAUGGCCAUCAUUGUUGCCCACGCCCCCCUAGUAACCCUAAACUACACUCAAACCCUAGAACCGCGAAAUCACACUCAGACACCGUCCCUCUUACAACAACAGCAAUCCUCUCCAUCCAUCAUCAAGUAUUUUCUAUAAAAACAAAAAAUAACUUCAUAAAAAUUCAGCAAUAGCAACCACAAAAAAUAUACAUAAACGAAAUUUAAAAAAAAAAAGAACAAAGUGAGAAAAAUGAGGCCAUUUCCUUUGGAUCUUGGAAGGAAAGCAAGUGAAGGCAAGGUCUUGGUUUUUUUCUUUAAAAAAAAAUUGAUUGGCUUAAGAGAGAAUUUUUUGAAAAACAUAGGAUAAAAAUGAUGUGAAUUUUUUUUGAAAAAAACAGAAAUCAAAUAAAAAUAGGAAUAAAAAAACAAGUAAAUGGAAAUCAAUCAAUAAUGGAAUUUUUAAAAAUUUGUAUUUUUUUGAAAAUUCUUAGGUCAAAGAAAUUUUUAAGAUUCUGCCAAAAAGUGUUCCAGAAUUUUUAAGAAAAUUUCAAUGUCAAGUCUUUUCAUUUAUUCCAAAAAAUAAAUAAAAAAUAAUAAAAAGUAUAAAAAGGAUUCAUACAAAAGAACAAAAAGAAACAAGAAAGAAUGGAAGGUCUAACCCAAAUCUUUUCAUAAAAUAACCAAUAAAUCUAACGAUGGAGCCUAUUUAAGAAAAUAAAUGACUUUCUUAAAUACUUUUGAGGUGAGAGUAUUUUCCUUAGUUUUUGCUAUAAGUUUUAGGAAAAGCUAGAAAAAGCUUUCAAUAUUUAAAUAAUGGGUAAAUAGAAAAUUAAAGAAGAAAAGAAAAGAAUACAUGGACAACAGAUUAUAAUAUGAUUAAGUUAGGGAUUAUGCUAGCUUAGUUCAAGUUAUGACACUUAUAAGCUUAGCUUAAGUCAAUAAUAAACGAUUGAAUGUCAUAGGGACUGUUUAAACUCCAAGAAUCAAAUUUGAGUGAAGUGUUGGUGUUGAUUAUGUGUUAGCAAAUUGAUUUUUCGAGGUGAGUAGAUACUUCGUUUUAAGUAUUUUAAUACAUAUAAAAAUAAGCAUGAUUAUCCAAUGAUUUGCCUCACAUGAUUACCAUGUUGUUCUCCAUCAUUGUGAAAGAUUUAAAGAUGAAUUCAAUGUUUAUUUGGCCCUUAUCACAUGUGGUAUGAUGCCUUACAUUUUGCUCGAGUGUUCGUGUGGACUAACGGCCCACAUCUGUCCCUUGUCACGUGUGGUACGACGCCCCACAUUUGGCCUUUAUGCACUCAUGGCAAUUUCAUACAUACUUAAGACAUUAUUAUUGCAUAACAUUUAACAAUUAAAAUUUAUGAUGAUCACAUUCUAUUAUUUCCAUACAUAACAUAAUUUCACUGGUGGGUAUUAUUACAUCUACCCAUAGCCAUCAUGUGGUGGAGACUUACUCAUCCACUCUUAUAAUUUAUAUUUGUGGACAUUUUACCAUCCACAUUUAACAAUCCAAUGGUGAAGACUUAUUCUGUCACGACCCGGAACUCCCCAUCGGGCCCGUGACAACAGUCGCGACGUUCCGAUAAGCACUCAUUACCUCGAAUAGUGAUCGAAACCCCACAAGGCUUAGCAUCAACUUCCGCAUCUCCCCAGUGAGCGACAGUUAUUAAAUCUCGCAUUUCAAGAAAUCAUAAGUUUUUUCCAAAUCAAAACAAUAAAAUAUUAUUUUCUGGCUCACAAGGGCAUUUUCGUCAUUUUUCUUCGAAAAUACCAAAACCCACCAAAAACAUGGUGUAAAAGCUAAAUAUGUUCAUACAUACUUUAAAUCAAAUAACUAAAGUAUAAAAUUACUUUUACAAUGACACGUGGGCCCCCAACUAACCAAUAAGAUGCGAGUUUGUGAACUUACAAUUUUAUCGAUGCAAGGCUAACUGAAGUCCUUGAUGCAAUCGGCUAUCUAUCGGCUAUCCCGAGCCUGAAAUGUGGGGAAUUGAGGAUGGUGAGGUUAUAAAAUCCUAGUGAGUAAACAGACACCAUCUAAACUAUCUAAAGACGAGUAAAUGGAGACGAAUUAAAAUAUUCUUUUUCAAUAUAUGUUUCAUAACAUGAAUAUUUAGUUUACUCAAUUAAUCAACAUGGCUUAUAUAUCUCACAAAACUUGGCUCCUGUCAAAAUCAUUCUCGCGGAUACCUUCGUCAAGGUAUCCCACUGAGAUCGCCAAGGCUGUUAAAAAUUCAUAUUUCGUAUAAAAUACAUUUUUCAUUGAACAUCACAGCCGUUCCUUAGCAUUGGCUGAGUCUCACUCUCACGUGGUGGUUAACGUGAAGUGCACUAAAAAAGCCCACCUCAAGAGAUACCUACGCGCCUCUAUGACCGAGGUGAGAAUAUAAAGGAGUUUACCGUGACCCUCUAAUAGGCUGGUCCACGGAACCCCCGCUGCAGUAAAUAAUUAAUAUAUACUCCACCAAUUCAAUAAAAUUCAUUCUAGCAUGGCAUGGCAAUUUAUCGCAAUCUAGCCUCUCAAGGCUGAAUACACAAUACAAAUAAUUCUGACACCAAAAUCAAUUUAGCCAUUCAUGCUCAUAUAUUGUCAUAAGCCAUUCAAUUUAAAACCAUAAAUUUACAACACAAGCAGGCAGUCUCCAAUUACUCUAUUUUCAAAACCAGUAUUCGAUUUUUCAGAAAAUUUAUAAAAUCAUUUUAUAAAAUCACAAUUUCUCUUAAAACAUAGCAAUUUACCAUUUAAACCCAUUUUUCAUAAAAUCACACAAUUGUAUAAAACUACUCUAGAUAAUUAAGACGAUAAUAAGUUUACUCACAGUUUUCGAAAACUAAAUUCGGGUACUCCAACUAUUACUCAUCGGGUUCGAUUUCUUUGCCCUUGCCAAAGGAUUCACCACCUUGACAAAUUGCACAAUUAAGAGGUUUACUACUUUGGUACUAAACCAAAAUAAACUAAUUUAUACUACUAAUGCAUGAUAUGAAGUGCAAAAUGUCUAAAUUUUACCUAAACGAGAUGUUAGCCUAUUUUGAUCUUUUACCCGAUAAAUCGAUAUACGCGUCCGUUUAAACUCCAAAUUAAUUUUUUUUUUCAGUUUCUAUACCUCAAUUGCACCCAAAUUGACUUAAUGUCCCUCAGUGUGAUUCAAAUUAUCGGUCUCGACAGUAAAUUACGAAAAUACCCUUAGUGGGUAAAAAUUCGUAUUUUUGCUCUGAAAAUUUCCAUUAUUUUUUUAGGCUCAUAAUUCAUCAUUAUUCAUCAUAAUUCCUCAAAUAAACAUCAAGAUCAGCAGCCAAUAUUCCCCUAGAAAAUUUGGCAUAAUGGGUUUCAAUGGGAGAAAGUUAUUUCUCUAGCUUAUUUUUGCUAUAUUUCAAUAUAACCUAACUAAAAUCACUUAAUUCAAUUAAAACCAACCAAAACUCAAGCUCAAAACUCAUCCAUGGAGGUUUGUCCAGCAUGGGUGUCCAUACCCACUUCCUAAUUUUGCAUGGAAAUGAGAAAAAUAUGCAUGGGUAGUGAAAAUCACAAGGAAAAUCAAUGAAAUUUACCUUUUUAAUGCUUGAUAUCUUGAUUUCUCUUGAUUUUCCCCAAAUUUUUCAGCUAGGGUUCUUAUUUCUUUUCCCCCUUUUCUCUCCUGAUUUGGACGGCUUGAAGAAGAUGAGGAUUCUGGAAAUUUUGACAUUUUUAAAGGCUAAAAUAAUAUAAUAUUAUUUUAUUCAUUUUUUUGUUUUAUUAAUUCCUUAAAUUCCAGCCAUCCAUUUGUUUCCAAAUUUUCACCAUACACUUGUCCCACAUAUCCAUAGCUUAGAUAAAAUUCUCAGACUUAUCCAAAGUCUUGGUGGAGUAAUUUUUGAAAUUUACACUUUCGCCCCCGUAAAAGUCAAAAAUUACAGUUUUACCCCAAAAACUGAAAAAUUACCCAUAGACAUAUAUUUCAUCCCUCAUACUCAUACCAUUCUCCAAUUUGUCAAAUGUGAUCUAAAUUCUCUCAAAAUCUCAAAUUUUGUCCGUGGGUGGAAAAAUUACGAUUUUGCCCAUACACUUCAAAAAUCACCGGAAUUAAACUUUUUCACUGCCAAACCCUCAAAUUAUACUCCAAUACUCAAAUCAUACUCCAAUAAGUUAAAUGGGGCCAAAAAAAUCUUUUCUAAAAAUUCUCAUUUUGUCCCCAAGUGGUAAAUGAUCAUUUUGCCCCUAAAUAGUGAAAAUUUCGAUUUGACUCCAAAUUGAUCCUCGAACUCUGAAUUACCAUUUUGAGUCAUCCCUGAAUUGUGAAACUCUUAAUUUCACCUUAAAAUUCCUAUUUGAACUAGUUCGAGGCUUAAUCGACUUAAUGGUACCAUUAGGGGCAAUAUCGUCUUUUAACAAUUUCUCGAAAUUCCUAAAUAUGCAAACUUUCGAUUGAGCAUGUAAAUGACGUCGUAAUUAUCUUAUAGAAUAGGGUUUGACAUAUUCAUCCACUGUUAUAACUAUGUUUAUGGGCAUUUUACUAUCCACAUUCACCUUUUUGUAAAGGCGUCUUAUUCCACCCACACUAGCACAUAGGUUGAGAUGGUUUGUCUAAUAUUUCACAUUCAUAAAGAAAUGAGUGGGUAUGUAUUCAUUUGCCUAAGCUUUGACUUAGCCAAGCAUCAAUUUUGCAACAUACAUCCAAUCGAGGAGUACUAGAAUAAAAUCAUUAGUUGAUUUUCACACAAGUGCAUGUAUCGUUAACAAGUAAUAUAGUAGAAAAUAAAAUUCAUUCCCACAGAGAAUUGAAUUAAUUCCUACUUGCUAACUACUAAAAUUAUCACACCUUAAUCUUAUCCAAACAAUUAAAAAUUGAAUUAAAAAGAAAAAUUAAUUUUAACAAACUAAAGAUUAAAAUUAAUCUAAAAUUAACUAGUAAAAUUAUUUUAUUAAAUCUGAUUGACUUUUAGACCUAAGAUUAUAACGUCCCUCAAUAUUUCAUCUGAAUAUUGUCUCUCUCUCUCUUAAGUUAGUUUAAUGGAUUAAGUUGUUAAUCUAAAGUCCUAAUUUAUUUACAAGUCUUUGUUGAGUUUCUCAUAAAAAUCUCUCCCAAUUAAUUUAUUAUAUGCUUAUGCAAAUUAAAUUAAAGACAGAUCCAUUAAGUUUAUGUUCUAAUUUUGGCUUCAUAUGGCUUAUAGGUGUAUGUUUACCCUAUAUGCUAAUCAAACCACUUAAUCAACUAAGUGCAUUCAAUCAUACACUAUUCUAUUUUAGGUUUACCUAAUCUCUUUCACCAAAGUUUAACUUAGGUUUCAAUUCAAUCUAAUUGAUGGCCAAUCAACUAGAAACAUUAAGAAUAUAAUAAAAUAAACAACUUAAAUCCAUCAGACAUAAAUAAAAGAGAGAUAAAUAAAUUAAACUACGCAUUGAGUUCAGCCAUAAUCUUAGAUAAAUAAAUUAGUUCCUCAUCAAGUCACACAUCAUCAUCAUCAAAUAAGGUUUAAACAUUCAAAUCAAACUAAGAAAAUAAGAGAAUAACAAAAGGAUGAUAGAACCCAAGAAUUUAUAAUCUUGAUUUUCCAAUUCUUCUUGAAUCCUUCAAAUUCUUCUCAGCUUUAAUGACUUUACUGCUUGAUUCUCAACUAUCAAUAUGGUGUUUCGUUCUCCUUCUUUAAAAAGUCCUUCAAAAUGUUAUUUUUAUAGGGCUUUGAAGUUGGGCUAAGUUGGGUGAAAAAAGAAGUCUAUUUUAAUAAGGAUUUCCUUAUUAGACUAUGUGAGUCGCGGCCUCGACCAUUUAAUUAGCAAAAAUCGUAAUUUCUCUAGGACUUUUGUAGUGUUUCAACUUUAACAUGAUUUUUGACCAUUUUGCAAGCUGAAUUGGGUGAAUUGGUAAGUAUGGAAGUUGUAUCUUUUUCUCUUAGGUUUUCAAUGGUAUAAGAAUCAUCUCAAUUGGAAUUCUGUAGAGAAAGUUAUGAUCAAAAUGUUGGUCCUAAGUAAAUGUGCUAGAAGAGGGGUGAAUAGCACUUUUUAGCUCUUAGCAAGAUGAGGAACUAAUUUGAAAAGCAAUGAAAAUAAAAACAAAUUAGACAAUGCACAGGAAUUUAGAGUGGUUUGGUCUAAGACCUACAUCCACUAUCUUGAUUAUUCAACUAAGGAUUUUCCAAACUAAACACUAUGAACGGUGAAAUUCACAAGCUUUCACCAAGCUUUUACAAUGGCUUUUACCAGGCUUAGCCAAAACCUUUCACAAUAGUUUUUACCAAGAUCAACUAAAACCCAACACCUAACUUUUCAAGGCUAAGUUAGAACCUAUACCCAAUCAAGCAAUCCUAGCUUGAAUCAAUCCCUUAGAGUGACUUGUUCAUUCUAAGAAUACAAGGAGAACAGUGAUAAGAGUGUACCUAUGAUCACAAGGUUGAUCUAAGUGGUACAAAUGAAGAGUAGAUCACAAUUACAAAGAUGAGAGUUGAGUAUAGUAAAUGAGCAGAGAGUAUUUGCAAGUUUUUCAGCUCUUUUUUUGUGUUCUUGGAAGCCUCCAAUUACAUUUCUAAUCGUUGGAAGUCUCUUUUAUACUUGAAAAAUCAGUUCUGAAGUGAGUUAGAUAGUUUUUUACCAUUGGAAACAGUUUGGGUAGAAAUUUUGGCCGUUAAUUUGUCUUUUAUUGCAGGAUUCAAAUUUACAAACAAAAUGCUCUUAGUCGACUAACAUAUGUCUUAGUCGACUAAGUUGUCUCUGUUUUUUGUUUCCAGUUUCUAGCAGUGGGCACUUAGUCGACUAACUUACUUCUUGGUCGACUAAGUUGGUUCCUUUUUCCUUCAUCAUAUUUUCAAGCUUUGCAAGUUUUUAUUCCAUUUUCACCAUUUUUGAAGGUUGCUCUAUAAGCUUCCCAUCCAUUCUCAUCAACAGAUUGAAUAUCAUUUCACUAGAAAAUUGUGAGGGUGUUGCCUCUGUCUGUGCUGGUAUUGCAGAGACCUUGGGUGAUUUAACAAAAGUUUCUCCAUUUAACUUGUAACCCAUAUUUGACAGACUACCUAAAUAGAUAGCCAGGUCUCUACUAUUUACCAAGUCCAUUUCAUACCUUUUGGUCCAAAUUCCUUUUUUCUGUACUAGUGCAGUAAUGAUAUUUCCAUAUGACAGAUUUAUCUUGUCCCCUGUACAGGCUCUUCUCAUUCUUUCAACCAUAAAUUGACCUAGAUUCCGGGGAGUACCAUUGAAUGCAUGCUCCAUUAGCCAUAAGUUUUGAAGGCUAAUGUAGCUAAAACUAUCACUUCUGCCAUGAAUAUUUGUUGAAAUAAAGUAAUGCAGAAUCCUAAUUUGAGGACUGGUAAUCAGGCUGGCAUUACUUUUGGAGGAGUAUUUUUCCUUCCUCCCUGUAAUUAUUUCCCACAAGGAGGAUGGGUCAUAAUUUUCAGGAAAGUCAAACUCUCAUUCCUCACAUUCGAUUUUAAGUAAACUCCCUAGAUCAACAGCAGUUACAGUAAAUUCCUUUCCAUUUAAAAACACAUUCAAGCCAUCAUUAAGAUAAUCAUCAGGCUCCUCUAGUUCAUCUUUGUCAAUUGCUAUACUUGAAUAAAAUUCUUUUACCAAGUUAGCAUUAUAGGAUCGAUUUUUAAAGAUGCUAAACUCCUUCAGUUUUAAUUCCUCAAAAUAAUCAGAUAAGCUUGUUUGAAUUUCUAGAAUUUUACUGAAACUAUCCCAAUUAAUGUAUUUUCCACAAGUAAUGGGGGCAUUCUCUAAUCUCUUGUUUCUAUCUUCAUGUGCUUUAUUCCUAAACUUAGAAGAUAAGGUGUUACCUUUCUUAGAUGAUUUUCCCUUCUCUUUUUUCUUCUCUGUUUUCUUCUAUGUUUUCUGUUCUUUUUCCUUCUGCGAUUUUCCAGAUUUUUCACUUAUCGAUGCAGACCCAAUUUUUUGUUUCUUUUUCUAUAUUUUUGCUUGCAUGCCUUCUUUUAGUGGUCGUUUUCCUUUCUUCCUCUCAGCAAUCUCUUUAGUCAAAGAGGCUUUUGCCAUUUUGGAUUUGAGAAAUUUCAAAUUGAGGGUUUUGAGAAUCUGAGUGGAGAGGGUUUCAGCUUUGGGUGGAUUGGUUUCAGAAGAGAGAAAAUGUAGAGGAAAUGAGUUAAUGGGCAAUUUGAUUUUCCCAAAAACUGUCUGUCUCCCUUUUAAAUACUGUCAGUUUUUCUCCUGUUCAAAAUUCAAACUUUGCCUCCUAUUUUAUUUUUCAUCUAGGUAGUAUUUUCUACCCAUUCUUUUCACCUGGUAUACUGCCCUGUUCACUAUUUUAUUCUUUUUCUCUUCUAACUACUGAGUCUUAUUAUUUAAAGAGACAGAAUGCUCUUAGUUGAUUAAGUGCCUCUCUUAGUCGACUAAAUGCCUAUUGUCUUUUGAGAAAAUUUUAGAAUUUUUCCUAAAGCUCUUGCAUACUAAUCAUUCCUAAAUUUCUUCUAAUCUCAUAGAAUCUAUCCUCAUUUAAGGGUUUUGUGAAGAAGUCGGCUAAUUGAUGUAAAGUAUUUACAAAUUCAAUUUUAAUGUCACCUUUAACUACAUGAUCUCUAACAAAGUGGUGCCUAAUCUCAAUAUGCUUAGUCCUAGAAUGCUACACAGGAUUUUUUGAAAUGUUGAUUGCACUUUUAUUGUCACAAUAUAUUGGUAUGUUAUUCAUUGACAUUCCAUAGUCUUUUAGUUGUUGUUUAAUCCAUAAGAUUUGAGCACAACAGUUGCCUAAAGAUACAUAUUCUGCUUUUGCUGUAGACAGAGCAACUAAAUUUUGCUUUUUGCUAGACCAUGACACAAGCAUAUUACCUAGAAACUGGUAGGUUCCACUAGUGCUCUUUCUAUCUGUUUUGUUGCCAGCAAAAUCAGCCUCUGAAUAUCCAACUAAGCUAAAGGAUGAUUCUCUAGGGUACCAUAUGCCUAAAGUUUGUGUGUCUAUGAGGUAUCUAAAAAUUCUUUUAACAGAAGUCAUGUGUGAUUCUUUGGGUUGAGAUUGAAAACGAGCACACAAACACGUACUGAAUUGUACAUCAGGCCUGCUAGCUGUUAAAUAAAGAAGUGAUCUGAUCAUACCUCUAUAAAGCUUUUGAUCAACAUCCUUUCCUUUUUCAUCUAAAUCAAGUCUGGUGGAUGGACUCAUUGGUGUAUAAAUUGAUUUCAACUUUAGCAUAUCAAACCUUUUGAGCAUGUCUUGAGUGUAUCUUUCUUGAUUGAUGAAGAUUCCUUUCUCACAUUGUUUGAUUUGAAGCCCAAGAAAAUACUUUAGCUCACCCAUCAUGCUCAUCUCAAAUUCUCCCUGCAUUUCUUUAGCAAAAUUCUUGCAUAAAGCCUCAUUAGUUACACCAAGCACAAUGUCAUCCACAUAAAUUUGAACAAUAAUUAAAUCUUUUAAAUAUCUUUUGAUAAAUAAUGUUGUAUCAAUACUACCUCUAACAUAACCUUUUUCAACCAAAAAUUUUGAAAGCCUUUCAUACCAAGCUCUAGAAGCUUGUUUCAAUCCAUACAAGGCUUUGUGAGGUUUGAAAACAUGAUUUGGUUUUUCAUAGUCCUUAAACUCGGGGGGUUGCUCAACAUAAACUUCUUCUUGGAUGAAACCAUUUAAGAAUGCACUCUUUACAUCCAUUUGGAAUAACUUAAAGUUCAUAAAGCAAGCAAAUGCAAGCAGUAAUCUUAUAGCUUCUAUCCUAGCAACCGGUGCAAAGGUUUCAUCAUAGUCUAUUCCUUCCUCUUGGUUAUAUCCUUAGGCUACGAACCUAGCUUUAUUUUUGACAACAUUCCUUUGCCCAUCUACCUUAUUUCUAAACACCAAUUUUGUUCCAACAUUAGGGUGAUUUAUAGGCCUAGAGACUAAUGACCAUACAUGGUUUCUUUUCAAUUGAUCAAGUUCCUCUUGCAUGGUCAAUAUCCAGCUUUCCUUUUUUUCUGCUUCCUCAAAUGUUUUAGGCUCAAUUUGAGAUAUGAAAGCUAAAAACUCACAAGUCUCCCUUGUUGCUCUCCUAGUUUUAACACCUUGUGAAAUAUCACAUAUUAUUAGUUCUUGUGGGUGAUCUUUUGCAUAUCUCUAACUCCUUGGAAGGUCAUUAUGCUGAUUUUCAGUUCUUUGCAGGGUUUCUAUGGGUGGAGGUUCUGUUUCUCUACCUAGGGUAUUUUUUUCACUAUUUUUCUUAUCAUCUAAACUCAUCUUUUCCAUUUGUCUUUCAAGGACAUUCGUAUCAUUUUCAUCAUCAGAAAUUUCCUUUUGUAAGGUAUUGGAUUCAUUAAAAACUACAUGGAUGGAUUCUUCAACAGUUAAAGAUCUUUUGUUGAAGACUUUAUAGACUUUUGAGUUUAAUGCAUAUCCUAGAAAUAUAGCUUCAUCACUCUUUGCAUCAAACUUUCCUAAAGGCUGUUUACCAUUGUUCAAUACAAAACACUAACAGCCAAAGCUCAUAAAGUGAGAGAAAUUUGAUUUUCUACCCUUGUAAAGUUCAUAUGGAGUCUUUGAUAUCAUGACUCUUAUAGACACUCUAUUAAGAAUAUAAGUUGCUGUGUUAACAACUUUUGCCCAAAAGUAUUUAGGUAGAUUAUUCUCACAUAACAUAGUUUAAGCCAUUUCCUUCAAGGUUUGAUUUUUCCUCGCUACAACUCCAUUUUACUGGGGUGUUCUAGGUGUAGAAAAAUUAUGAUCCAACCCCUUUUCAUUAAAAAAAUUCUCAAAUUCAUCUCCUUCAAACUCACCUCCAUGAUCACUCUUAAUACUAACUAUAGCUAGUCCUUUUUCAUUUUCAACCUUCCUACAAUGACUUAUGAAUGUUGGUAGAGCAUCAUUUUUAUGAGCAAGGAAAUAUACCCAAGUGUACCUAAAGUAAUCAUCAACUAUUACAAAGCCAUAAGAUUUUCCUCCUAGACUAGUUGUACUUAUUAGACCAAAUAGAUCAAUGUGCAUCAGUUCAAGAGGUCUAGAUGUGGAAACAACUUUCUUGGUUUUAAAGGAUGUUCUAACUUGUUUUCCUAGCUGGCAAGCAUCACAUAUCUUAUCAUUUUCAAACUUAAGAUUCGGCUGUCCAAUAACUAAAUUUUUUCUACUCAACUUUGACAUGGUAUGCUUGCUCACAUGUCCUAAUCUCCUAUGCCAUAACCAACUAUCAUUUUCAGCAUUUGCCACAAGACAUAUUUCAUAAUCCAUUUCAAGAUCCUCAAGAAAUACAACAUACAUAUUCUUUAAACUUCUUCCUAUAAAUGAGACUUUAUUAGUGCUUAUGUCUAUCACUUCACAUUUGGUUGAGUCAAAACAUACCUUAAAUUCUUUAUCACACAAUUGACUAAUGCUCAAUAAAUUAUAUUUCAAACCUUGAACCAAUAACACAUUGCUAAUUUGAGUUAGAGAGUUCUUACCAACUGUUCCUAUGCCAUGAAUUCUACCUUUUGAAUUAUCACCAAAAAACACGGCUCCUCCCUUUUUCUUGUCUAGCUGUACAAAUAGCAUUUCAUUUCCUGUCAUGUGCCUUGAGCAGCCACUGUCCAUAUACCAAGGCUACUUCUUCUUGAGUUGAGCUCUUGAACAUGUAUCUUUUGAGUGCAGCUCAACUUACAAAACAAAUAUUCAGUUUUUCUUUAUAGGUACCCAUACCUUGAUGGGUCCUUGAUUGAUAGCAGCAACAUAGGAUCCUUUUGGAACCCAUAUUUUUCUUAUUUUCUGCAUAUUUUUUUUUCUAUUGCAAUCAUAGGAUAAAUGGCCAACUUUAUCAGAAAUAUAACACCUAGAUGAUGCAUUAGCAGAAUUUUGCUUGUAGUAAACAUUUCUUUUUGGAGUUUCAUUCUUCAAACUUUUGAGUGCAGUAUUUUCUUCACUUAGCUUUUGUAAGACUUCAGUUUUGCUUUCCAAUUCCAAUUUUAGAUUUUCAAAAUCUUUUUUUGAGUGCUCCAAUUCAAUUUGCAGAAAAUUUCUUUGUUCAAAAUUAGAAUCAAAGUCAUGUUUAAUCUUUUCCAAAUCUGAUUCUAAAGAUGCAGAUUUUUUCUUUAAAGUCUUGUAUUUCAAAACAAGUUUCUCAAAUUCAUCAUACAAACAUUCAUAUUCUUCCUAAAGUUCAUCAAUAGAAAUAUUGCAAGGGGAUAAGGAUACCUCAGAUUCAUCAUCCCGUGCCAUCAAACACAGGUUUGCUUUUUUUUCUUCCUCAGCUUCAGAACUUGAAGUAUCAUUGUCGGACCAAGUAGCUGCCACCAUUGCCUUCUUUGAUUUCUUAUUUCUCUUUGGAGUUUCUUCUUUCAGUAAGGGGUAUUCAUACUUGAAAUGUCCAAGCUUCUUGCAUUCGAAGCAGGUUAGUUCUUUCUUCUUGUUGGAGUAAUUUUUUUUUUCUGAUUCUCCAUGAAGAACCUUGAUCUUUUCUAAACCCUCUUCUAGCUAGUCUUCAGUUUCUUUUGCCCAUCAAUUUUCUAAAUCUUCUAGCAACCAGUGCUAGUUCUUCAUCAUCAUCACAGGAUAGGUCAUCUAGUUCUUCUUCAAGAAUACUAGCUUUUAGGGCGAUGCUCUUCUUUUUUUCUUUUGCUUCCUUUCUAUCUUCCUCUUCUCUUCCUUGAGUUCUAGCUCAUGAGUAAGGAGAGAAUCACAAAUUUCAUCCAAAGUUAUGACAUUUAGGUCCUUUGCUUCUCGGAUUGCUAUCACCUUAGGCUUCCAAUUCUUGGGUAGGCUUCCAAGAAGUCUUUUAACAACUUCAUGCUCGGGAAUUGGUUUGCCUAGUUGACUUAGUUUGUUUGUGAUGUUUGUGAAUCUAUCUAACAUGCUAGUGAUAUCUUCACCAGGCUGCAUCUUAAACAUUUCAUAAUUGUGGGUCAAGAAGGCUAUCUUGGACUCCUUGACUUGAGAAGUCCUUUCAUGGAUAAUCCUAAGUUUAUCCUACACCUGUUUUGCUAUGGUACAGCUUGAUACUUUAUUGAAUUCAGUGGGAGUUAAGGCACAAUGCAAUGUGUUAAUUGCCUUAAAAUUGGUCUGGACUCUUUUAGUUUCAACCUCGAUCCAUUCAGACCUUGGCUUAGGGAUCAUCUCAUUUGUCACUACAUUUAGAGUUGAGGGAAUGAAUGAUUGAUCAGUUAUGACAUCCCACAUCUUAUAAUCAAUUUCCCUAAUAUAUAUUGACAUCAUAGUGCUCCAAUAAGGAUAGUUAAAGCCAUCAAACAAAGGUGGUCUGUUUGUUCAUUUUCCCUCAGCAACCACUGAUUUUUGUAAAGCCAUUAGGAUCCUCCCAAAGGGUGUUAGACCUUAAUAACAAGAAACUUGCUCUGAUACCACUUGUUGGUCCCAAGUAAAUGUACUAGAGGGGGGGUGAAUAGCACUUUUUGGCUCUUAGCAAGAUGAGGAACUAAUUUGAAAAGCAAUGAAAAUAAAAACAGAGUAGACAAUGCACAGAAAUUUAGAGUGGUUUGGUCCAAGACCUACAUCCACUACCUUGAUUAUUCAACCAAGGAUUUUCUAAACUAAACCACUAUGAACGGUGAAAUUCACAAGCUUUCACCAAGCUUUCACUAAGCUUUCACCAAGCUUUCACCAAGCUUUCACCAAGCUUUUAUAAUGGCUUUUACCAGGCUUAGCCAAAACCUUUCACAAUAGUUUUUAUCGGGAUCAACUAAAACCCAACACCUAACUUUUCAAGGCUAAGUUAGAACCUAUACCCAAUCAAGCAAUCCUAACUUGAAUCAAUCCCUUAGGGGGACUCGCUCACUCUAAGAAUACAAGGAGAAAAGUGAUAAGAGUGUACCUAUGAUCACAAGGUUGAUCUAAGUGGUACAAAUGAAAAGCUGAUCACAAUUACAAGAUGAGAGUUGAGUGCAGUAAAUGAGCAAAGAGUAUUUAUAGGUUUUUCAGCUCUUUUUUUGUGUUCUUGGAAGCCUUCAAUUACAUUUCUAGCUGUUGGAAGUCUCUUUUAUACUUGAAAAAUCAGCUCUGAAGUGAGUUAGACAGUUUUUGACUGUUGAAAAUAGUUUGGGUAGCAAUUCUUGCUGUUAAUUUAUCUUUUAGUGCAGGAUUCAAAUUUGCAGACAGAAUGCUCUUAGUCGACUAACAUAUGUCUUAGUCGACUAAGUUGUCUUUGUUUUCUGUUUCUAGCUUCUGGCAGUGGGCAUUUAGUCGAUUAACUUACUUUUUGGUUGACUAAGUUGGUUUUGUCUUGAAGUCCAAAUUUCUGGCAAUAGCUUCUUAGUCGACUAACCCAUUCCUUGGUCGACUAAGUCUUUUCUGUCUCUCAAUACUCUUCAGCCCGCCAACUUUUGGUUUGAAUUUUAGUUGACUAACUCUUCAUUAAUCGACUAAGGGGCUUCUGUCUUGUUGAUCAAUUGUGACUUCCUUAUUCCUAUGCUCUUUGAUAUGUGCAUUUGAAUGAUUUAUUAAUUUUUGCAUACAAUAUUUGUCCUGCACACUCAAGUAAAGAUAUUAGAGACAAAUGAAUAGAAAUGUUUUAUUAUCAUCAAAACCUAAUGGAGCCAACACAAAAUACCAAAACAUGUGCUAUGAAAGUUUGCAUUUCAAAAUUGCUUUCCUUCUUCCAUUAAAAGUCUUCCUUCAUUAAACACCUACAAAAGCACAAAUAAAUCAAUAACAACCUAUCUUAAUCACAUUAACACCAAAUAAAGCAUAAAAUUAACUAAGAUUAGAUUGACCCUCAUAAAUUAACUAAUUUAAAAUCAUUUAAAUAAAACUUAUUAAUUUCUAUACAUUAUUAUAAGAACUAAGCUAAAAUACUACCAAAAUUAAGCCUGAAUAACUCUAUAUCAUAGAGUUACCAUACCCCCAAACUUAAUAUUUUGCUAGUCCUCGAGCAAAACAUAGAAAAGAAUCUAACUUAUGAAAAUCAAAUUCAGAUGGUAACAAAAUAAAUGUAUUUACUACUACUAGAGAUAAAGUGCCCCAACUCAAUGAUUCCCCAUAAUUUCCUUAAAAGUAUAUCUAUCAAUCAUUAACUUAAGGAAAAAUAUAGGCAUCAUUCAAAUUCAUGUUUCAAUUCUAAUGCAAGCACAUUCUCGAAGGGAUUUUCGUGUGUGUGUGAAAACUUUUACCAAGAAUAUCAUGACUUUCAGAUGAGUUUAUGCCAACAUAAAUUUCAAAUUAGUAUUAGCACUCCAUAAGUUUACUUUUCAUCUCUCUCUCCACUAAUGUAGACUAACACCAAGCUAGGGAUCAAUAGGACUUUAAUAACCUUGUAAUAUAUGGCUAGGGUCCAUGUAGGAUAAAAGAUAAUAAUGUGGCUCAAAUUACCCUAAGCACAUAAUUAUUCUAGGACCUUUAUAUAAAGUUUUAUUUUCCAUCUCCAAGUACACCUUUCUUUCUUCACUUUUGAACUUUUCUUUUGUUCAACACACAUUUUUUUUUUAUAAUUUUACAAUUUCACACCUCCAAACUUAUUUUCUUUGUAUUGUAGGUAGUGGGGUGAUUUUUAAUAUUUUGAACUUUUGUUUUCUUUUUUUCACAUCAACAUCACCUCUCUAGAAUGUAGUUAAAUAAAGAAAAGGGAACUUCGGCUCAAAUGGGCAUACUAGAGAUAAAGAUUUAAUAAGGUUGGCUUUUUAGGCUCAAACGGUCCAAAGAUGGCCUAAAUCAUCUCCUUAACUAAGUAUUGCCUAGGAUUUUGCCUCGAGAGAGAAUGAAGCAAAUUUUAGAAUUCUUGAUAUAAUCUAAAUUUUAUAUUAGUAUAAACCUUCUCUAGAUAUUCACAAUAAUUCAAAGUAAAAAUAUAGUGCUCAAAAUUAUGGAAUUACAUCCUAACAAUGAUACUUAACAAAAGAAUUUAGCAUGAAUCUGAACAAAAACCUUUUUUUUUACCAAAAGAUAAGAAUUCAAGACAACUAAUUAUUAUCAUUGGAUAGAGAAAUCAUCGAAAAAAAUUGGCACAACUUUACUCUAGAUUCCUAAAAUUUGAAUAAAUAAUAAAUUAAAUUACUAACUAAUCCUAAAUUAUUUAUAAAUCUAGAUACGCAUGCAAAUAAAAUUGAAUCUAAAACUUCCAUAGAAUAUUUACAACCAAAAAAAAAAAAUUCACCUGCCCAAACUUAAACUAAAGAUUGUCCUCAAUGUUAGGAAAAAUAAAGGAAAGGUAAAGAAUACUCCCCUGAUGGUUGGAUGAAUCUGGUGAAGCUCUAGUUCUCAUUUUUGUCUCCAUCAUCCUUUGCUUCAUUGCCACCCUAAGGAGGAUUAGGUGUUGGUGGAAGAGUAGACAUAUCCCUUCCCAUAAAAGCACCAUAAGCUCGAAACAUGUGGUCCAUAUGUUGAUAACAUUGGGUUUGAUAAGUCAUGUGUUGCUUAAACUAGUUCCCAAGUUGCUUAACUAGAUGCUCAAGGUUCUCAAUUCUUUGAGUCAUUGACAAUUGUUGGUGUCUUAGUCGAGGGGGUGGAGGAUUGUAACCAUCGCUCCUCGAUCGCUACCAGUAUCUAAAUCUUGCGGGAGAACUCGCCAAGUCCCGAACAAGCCUUAAUUGAAACUUAGUUAUUACAUUAUAUUGAUUCCACCGAUCUAUAUAAUUGUUUUGAAUCGUAUAACUCUUUGUAAUAUGAUUUGAACAAAAGUCAUUAUAAUUCGACUUAACUUUUAUUCUUGAUAAUUGUAAAAGGACAUCAAGGUUUUUAAUCUCCAAAUGUACAUUCGUGUUAACAGUACUGUCUAUUUACAUAACAAAAUACAUUAUGACGACUCGACCUCUAGCUGCGGAGCAACUCGAAAUAAAGUGCUAUGAGAUGCCUUUACCUAUCCGCGGUGGACAAUAAGUGCCAAUGAAUGCAUGCUAGGCUGAUCACUUAUCUACAAAAGGGAGAUAAAAGGGUGAGUCUCACAAACUCAGUGAUCAUCGGCUCUGUGAGUAGGGCGUAGAUGGGAAACAAGCUUAGAGCAGAUAAUUUGAAGGAUAAAAUCAGAGUAUAAAAUGAUAACCUUAUAAAACCAAAUAACAAAUAUGGUGUUUGUGCCUUGUAAAAAUAAUUCCAUAAAAGCAUAAUGCAAUACUUUCCUUGGCAAACAAUGUCGAAAUUAAAGCAUAGUAAAAUAAAUUUCAAUCAUCAAAAUCGUGUAUUUCCUUCCAAAAUACAAUAGUCGUAUCAAAGCACACAUGCUCCCAAAAUGUGUGGCAUGUAAAAAUAAUCCUAUAUAUCCACAUAUAUCAAGUCAUGAUCAACAUAUAAAGAACUGAAAACUUUUAAUUAAAUAGGGGAGCUACGGAAAAACAAUAUCUCUCCACCAUGCAAAAAAGUACGAGUCUAAAAACUCUUAAGGCUCUCGAGUAGGUAAUCAUAAAUAAUUAAUUCGUGGACCCUCUUCCACAUAAUAACAAUCUGGGAGGCCCCCCUCCACCGGAUUCCCACAGCCAUGGCAGUCUAAACGAUGUUCGUCGACAUCGAAGAAAUCAUGUGGUGGCAACCACGUAUAUCAACUCGUGGCCUUGCCACGUAUAACAACCUGUGGCCUUGCCACAUAUAAUCACAAACCGUGGCCUAGCCACGUCUAAUAGCCCAUCGGUGAUCCAACAGUUCUCUAACUAGAGCUCACUUGUGCACAAGGGUCACACUAUCUCGAUGUGACAUUCAGCCUACUCUCGAUGCUCUCGGUUUGUCAAAAUCGUUUUCAAAACCAAAUCAAGGUUUCCAAGAGUUUUCUUUAAAUCCGUUGAAAACAAGGUUCGACAGCUUUUCAAAAUUGUUUUUCAUGUUAAAAUGCAUGGUGUAAACAUUUGCAUAGAGUUUAGAUUAAAACCGGCUAACAAGAAAUCAAACUUAAACCAUUUAUCAAGUGCAAUCAUCUAUGCACAAUUCACAAAGAUUCAAGGCACGAUUUUUGAUGCAAAACAUUGCAAAAUGGCUUGUUUCUCGAUUUCUAAAACACUUUACAUAUAUGUAUAUAUAUAUAUAGUCUACACAAACAACUUCCAAAUCUCUUUGCAUCCACAAUUUCCUAUGGUUUCUACCAGCUCAUGCUUUCCACAAAAACAAUGUACAAAUUGUUCCAAACCAUGUAUUCAAAUCUCAAAUCACUUAUCAUUUUCUAGCAACUCAUGCUUUCCACAAAGAUGUUGAAUAAAUCAAUGACAAGUUACUAUACAUAUAACAUUAUAUAGUAUGGAAUCUUUUGAAAUAGACACCCUCUACUCACCUUACAAUGGCAGGAUAUUACUUUGCCACUAAUAUUUCCUCAAAUGCUUACUUUAGGCUUGCGGCAAUAAUCCAUGCUUUGUCAACUUCCUAACAUCAUUUCAAUCCAAUACAUUUAAUAAGCUUUGCUACCAAUAUAUUCUACAUUUGCUGUUCGCAUUUAAUUCUAUACUUUCAUCUCUAUUCUUAAGAGAUAACCGUUUACACUUAAUCCUUAGUGUAAACUUUGAAUUACAUAAACCCAGCAAUUUGUUUAUGAUUUCAAAUGCCCACGUCAAUCUUCUAAUAACAUUUGUCACGUUCAAACUAUUACUUUCAUACUAUUAAUCACAUAUAUGACAGCAACUAUAAAUCCGAUUUCACUCAAUUAUUUCCAAGCUUACGUGCAUAAUUGUCUAUAUAACUUUCAAUGCUUUAUUUCUCAAUCCACCAUCCACAUUAUUCAUCCUUAUUUCUUUCAAUUAACACAACAAUAGCCAUUUUCUCAAAAUCUUCUAACUAUACUUAAAGCAUUAUUCAUUUUUACCUUUGAGGUUGCUUAAGCCUCACAUGUACUCCAAUAUUCUUCCAAGUUUCAAUCACCAAGUUGCCAACAUUAUUCAUAAAUUAUUUUCUUAACAAUUUUACUAACCGUAGGCCUUAAAACACAAUACCAUGCUUAACUUUUCUCUUUCACUUUGAAUCCAUCAUGCAUCCAAAAGUUUGAUGGCUUGCAUGUCACUAUAUCCUCUCCAAUCAAGCUUUUCUUUGCUGCCAUAAACACAACCCAACAUUACCAAUCCAAAUUUCCAAGGAUACAUUCAAACUAAAGCCAUUCUCUUACCUUUUCUUUACUUGAAUCAUAAAAUUGAGCCACACAUGCUCUUCCAAUUUUUAAAUCUCUUUUUGGAUGGUGAAAUAUCAAAUCUUAACAAGGUAAAGGGAAGGAAAUCUUCACAGUUGCCUUACGUUUUCUUAAAUCGAGCCUCCCCUUAACUCACUCAUUUCUUCUCUUUCCUCUCUACCAUGUGGGUAAAACUUACAAAGCCAAUUCUUUCCUUUCUUUUUCUCUCAAGGGCAUGGUUUGCCCAAGUUCCUAAAGCUUUCAUUUCCUUUUUCCCUUUUCUUUUUUGUUAUUUCUUAGUUUUGUUUCUUUAGUUUCAUAUUGGACCACCUUACCACCCAAUGGUUCUUCAUGCACCAAUAUUCUCUACAUGUUAUUGGUUAAGUAUCCACCUUUCAUUAUCCUUCCAUUCUUUAAUUCAUUUCCACUUAAUCCCACUUUAUUUGCGUCCAAUGGUCUUUCAUGCAACUUUCCCCACCUUAAUUUCCAUUUGGCCUCCUCCUUGGCCAAUGACAUUUCAUGCAACUAUAUUUUCUCUUCUUUUAGUCUAAUUGUCACCAAGUGUCCAUCAUGCAUAAAUCUUUCAUACAUUCUUUUAACUUAAAAAUCCACAUGCAUGUGUUAUCUUAUUCAUUUUGCCUUUUGCUUUUUUGUUUGUCACAUGGUGGGGGUGUCAAGUCUGACUCUACAAUAUGUUUAUUAUGCCAUUCUUACAUAAGAAUGCAUGUUUGCUUACUUGGGUACCUCGAAAAUCGUUAAAGGACGGUAAUGUACCAAAUGGUACAAUUAAGUUGAAUUAAGCCUCGAACUAGUCCAGAUAGAGAUAUUAAGACAAAAUUGAGAAUUUUAAAUUCCUAGAAUGACUUAAAAUGGUGAUUUGGAGUUCAAGGACCGAUUUGGAGUCAAAUUGAAAUUUUCAUGAUCUAGGGGCAAAAUGGUCAUUUUGUCACCCGAGGUUAAGAUGUGAGUGUUGGAAGAAGUUUUUGAUUAAGAUUGACUAUUUAAAACAUAAUUUGAGUUUGAGAAGUGAAAAAUUUUAAUUUUGGCAUUUUUCGAGCAUAAAGGGUAAAAUAGUCAUUUUGCCACCUUAGGGGCAAAAUUGUAAUUUUACACACCCAACACUUGUCCAGCACAUGGAUUUUACCCAAUAUUAUCAUGGAUAAUUGAAGGAUUUUAUGUGGUGGAGAAAGAAAGAUUAAUAGUUAAGAAUUUAAAAAUGGACCAAUGGUAAAGUGAUAAGUGUCAAGCUUUUAAUUCUUUAUUAAUUUCCUUAUAAAUUAGCACAAAAUCAGCCCAUUUCUCAUUCAUAUGGCCGGCCAAAGAAGAAUAAAGGAUGAAAAGAAAGAACAAGAACCCUAGGUGGAAAAAUUCAAGGGAAAAGUGUGAAAAUUCAAGGAAACAAGGGAAAAAAAGGUAAGAUUUUUCAAUUAAGCUUGAGAUCUUUCUUUCUUAAGCAUUUUUGCUUAUUUUUCAUGGUUGAAUCACAUGAUUUCAUGAUGGGUAUCUUGCUGAUCAAACCCUAGGAGAGAGAAUUUGAUGAUGAUUUAGAUAGAUUUUGAAGAUAUAUGGACGUUUUUAGUUGUUUAUGGUGUUAAGUGUAAGAAUUAAGCUUGAAAUUCACAUAUUCCUCAGGAGUUCAUCAUUGGCCGAAUCUUCCUUGUAGAGUGUUGAUGGUGAAUUUGAUUUUAUUUCAAGUGAAUUGGUUAGAAAAUGAUGAAUUAUGGUGAAAAAAUCAAGUAGGAAAAAUCAUAGUGUUGAUGCACUCACCAUGGCCGAAAUUCUCAAGAAUAAAUGUGAGGAUAGUUUUGCUAAAUUUUAUGUUAUCUGACUUGUGUUUGGUGAUUUGAAGAAUUGGGAGAAAAAUGGAAUUAAUUGGAGUUGAAUUGGACAUAUUGGCCAAUUAAUCGGGUGAUAGAUCGAAUUAGGCCAAUACCGAUUUAUUUUGGUACACAAUUGAAUUUGUGUAGAACACCGUGUUUAGGCGAUAAUCUGAACGAUCUGCAUUCCAUUUCAUGCAUUAGUAAAGAGCCUAAAAUAGAGUUAAAAUGGUAUGACACAGUAUAUUGAAUUAUGUGUCGUGUAUUCUAUAUAGGUGGUGAGCCCUCUAACAAGGGUAAAGACGUGGUGUUAGAGGACUGAGAAUAGGAGUAUUUCAAACUCCUGAUACAGUGAGUAACCUUAUCAUCAUCUUGAUUAUCUGAAGUGAAUUUUUAUUCGAUUUUGUGGAUUUUAUGGAAAAUGAGUUUAAAUGGUAAAUCUUUAUGUUUUAUAAGUAAAAUGUGAUUAAACGAAAUGAUUUUAUAAAAUUGUCUUGAAAUUGAAUGAUGGUUUUGAAAAUGGAGUAAUUGGAGACUAAUUGCUGUGUUAUAAAUCAUGGUUUGAACUGAAUGGCUUAUGAUAAUAUUGGCAUGAAUGGUUGAAUUAGUAAAUGUACUGAAAAUGUAUGAACUGUUGAUUUGCCUUGAGAGGCUGUAAAAUAAAAUAAUUGCCAUGUCAUGCUAUUAUAAAUUUUAUUGAAUUGGUGGGUUAUAUAUUGGUCGCUACAGUGGACCGGUUCCGUGGACCAGCCUAUUAGAGGGGCAUGGUAACCCUAUUAUAUUCAUACCUCAGUAUGAGAGGCGCGGAUGGAUAACUCCUAAGGUUAACACUUUAGAGUUCACUUCACGCUAAACCACCACGUGAGGGUGAACUCAGCCAACGCCAAAGAACGACUAUGUUUUCAAAAUAAAAAACAUGAUUUAUGCGUACAUAACUUUUUAACAGCCUUGGCGGACUCGGUUGAGAUAGCCCUUGGCCAAGGUAUCCUUGAUAAUUGAGUAUGAGAAUGAUUUUGGCACGAGCCAAACUUUUCACGAAAUCAUAAGCCUCGUUGUUUAUUUUGGUGAAAUGAAUCUAUUUUGUCUUAUUAAAAUGAGUUCGAAAUGCUGAGAAUCAUUUUUAUACUCAUCUAUUUUAUCUGUCUCCAUUUACUCAGCUUUAGAUAUUUUAGAUGGUAUUUGUUUACUCACUGAAAUUAUAUAAUCUCACCACCCUCCUUUCCACCCAUUUCAGGCUCAGGAUAGUCGGUAGAUAGCUCAUUUCAUCGAGAGCUACCAUUGGAUUUGCAUCCUCCAAAUUGUAGGUUCACAACCUUUAUUACUUUUGGUUAUUCGAGGGCCCACUUGUUAUUAUAAUUAAAUCUUAUGCUUUGGUUAUAGG
rnacentral:lncRNA from 1 species